CCUACGGGGGGCAGCAGUGAGGAAUAUUGGUCAAUGGACGAGAGUCUGAACCAGCCAAGUAGCGUGAAGGAUGACUGCCCUAUGGGUUGUAAACUUCUUUUAUAUGGGAAUAAAAUGUUCCACGUGUGGGAUUUUGUAUGUACCAUAUGAAUAAGGAUCGACUAACUCCGUGCCAGCAGCCGCGGUAAUACGGAGGAUCCGAGCGUUAUCCGGAUUUAUUGGGUUUAAAGGGAGCGUAGGUGGAUUGUUAAGUCAGUUGUGAAAGUUUGCGGCUCAACCGUAAAAUUGCAGUUGAAACUGGCAGUCUUGAGUACAGUAGAGGUGGGCGGAAUUCGUGGUGUAGCGGUGAAAUGCUUAGAUAUCACGAAGAACUCCGAUUGCGAAGGCAGUUCACUGGACUGCAACUGACACUGAGGCUCGAAAGUGUGGGUAUCAAACAGGAUUAGAUACCCGGGUAGUC
rnacentral:rRNA from 1 species